rnacentral:rRNA from 1 species
GACGAACGCUGGCGGCGUGCUUAACACAUGCAAGUCGAACGGAAAGGCCCUGCUUUUGUGGGGUGCUCGAGUGGCGAACGGGUGAGUAACACGUGAGUAACCUGCCCUUGACUUUGGGAUAACUUCAGGAAACUGGGGCUAAUACCGGAUAGGAGCUCCUGCUGCAUGGUGGGGGUUGGAAAGUUUCGGCGGUUGGGGAUGGACUCGCGGCUUAUCAGCUUGUUGGUGGGGUAGUGGCUUACCAAGGCUUUGACGGGUAGCCGGCCUGAGAGGGUGACCGGCCACAUUGGUACUGCGAUACGGCCCAGACUCCUACGGGAGGCAGCAGUGGGGAAUAUUGCACAAUGGGCGGAAGCCUGAUGCAGCAACGCCGCGUGCGUGAUGACGGCCUUCGGGUUGUAAACCGCUUUCGCCUGUGACGAAGCGUGAGUGACGGUAAUGGGUAAAGAAGCACCGGCUAACUACGUG